rnacentral:rRNA from 1 species
CCACCGCGGUUAGACGAGAGGCCCUAGUUGAUUACACAACGGCGUAAAGGGUGGUUAAGGAUUAAUAAAAAUAAAGCCAAAUGGCCCUUUGGCCGUCAUACGCUUCUAGGUGUCCGAAGUCCUUACACGAAAGUAGCUUUAAUAAAACCACCUGACCCCACGAAAGCUGAGAAACAAACUGGGAUUAGAUACCCCACUAUGCUCAGCCGUAAACUUAGACAUCCGACUACAAUUAGAUGUCCGCCAGGGUACUACGAGCAUUAGCUUAAAACCCAAAGGACCUGACGGUGUCUCAGACCCCCCUAGAGGAGCCUGUUCUAGAACCGAUAACCCCCGUUAAACCUCACCACUCCUAGUCACCCCAGCCUAUAUACCGCCGUCGUCAGCUUACCCUGUGAAGGCAACAAAAGUAAGCAAAAUGGGCACAACCCAGAACGUCAGGUCGAGGUGUAGCGCAUGAAGUGGGAAGAAAUGGGCUACAUUUUCUGCAACAGAAUAUUACGAACAUGCACUAUGAAAUAAUGCUUGAAGGAGGAUUUAGUAGUAAAAAGGAAAUAGAGUGUCCCUUUGAACUCGGCUCUGAGACGCGUACACACCGCCCGUCACUCUCCCCUGUCAAAAUGCACCAACAAUAUAUAAUUAACUAGCACCGACGAGGGGAGGCAAGUCGUAACACG